UGCAGUGUUAAAUUUGAAGGAAAAAAGGUAUACAGUAAUAUAAUAUAAACCUACUUACUACAAGUCUGAGUAAACAAAACAAAUGUGUUAUUUAGGGUGUAAUACAAGACAAAAUCCUCUGAAGGUAAUUAUUAAUGCUGAAACAAGACAAUUUGGGAACAGACUGAAUAUGAGAGAAACUAAAAAGUAAAAAAGAAAACCAAAUACCCCACUCAUCCCCUACCAUGUUGCCAACAUUUUCCAAAAUCACUUGCUAUGGGCAAGAGACCACAGAACAACUUCUCUUUAAUUUUAUGGUAACAUUUCCAGUUGUAACUGACAUUUUGUCUCACAAAGGGACAAAUUAAUGGAAUUAGCAAGAGUUGCAGUGAAAAUGUCACUGCUAAAAAGUGACCCCUGGAAAAGAAGUAGCUACCAGAGCUGUGGGACCUGGUGGCCAAAACAGCUUUCAGUGUGACGUAUGUUUUCUUUUUGAGUUUUAUGAGAAAAACACUUUUCAAAAUACUGUCUGGUCCGAGAUAUACUCAGCAAAUUAUACUCAGGAAGGGGAAAAAACACUGUGCAGAUAACCACAACUUAGUAUGAUGACUAGAUGUGGGAGGUGCGCCUCACGAGCUUUUAAGAGGACCUCCCAGAAGAGGGAGCGAUGGGACAGUUUCAGAGGCAAACAGGAAAUAGCCCUGUGAGGGGAAGAGGGUAAAGAAAUGGACUCCAUGAAGACGGGUCGGCGUGCACAAAAGCUGAUGCAAGAUGUGCUACGUGCCGCUGGCCCACGAGCCGUGAGACACAGAGGAGCAGGAGACACAAGCAUGGCCCUCGGGACGACUUCUGUCUACUAUGCCUAAGUCUGGGGAUGAACAGUGCUAUCACCUAAUGAAACGGAGAAGACAGAAGAGCCAACAAGCAGGGAGGAUGAGACUCAAGACUGCAGAUUUUGACAGCACUGUUUACAAAAGCCAAGACAUGGAAUCAACUAAACAUCUAUCGACAGAUGAAUGAAUAAA